rnacentral:rRNA from 1 species
GGGGGGGGGGGGGGGGGGGCCGAGGGCGGGCGGGGCGGGCGGAGGGACGGGGAGCUUGCGCCGCUGACGUUAGCGGCGGACGGGGGAGUAACACGUGGGUAAGCUACCUAUAAGACGGGGGUAACUUCGGGAAACCGGAGCUAAUACCGGCUGAUAUAUUGAACCGCAGUGGUCAAUGGUGAAAGACGGAUUUGCUGUCAAGUCUCGAUUGGUCCGCGCCGCAUUAUGUAGUUGGGAAGGUAACGGCUUACCAAGGCUACGAUGCGUAGCCGACCUGAGAGGGUGAGAGGCCACACGGGAACUGAGACACGCUCCAGACUCCUACGGGAGGCAGCAGUAGCGAACCGUCCGCAAUGGGCGAAAGCCUGACGGAGCAACGCCGCGUGAGUGAUGAAGGUCUUCGGAUCGUAAAACUCUGUUAUUAGGGAAGAACAAAUGUGUAAGUAACUAUGCACGUCUUGACGGUACCUAAUCAGAAAGCCACGGCUAACUACGUG